ACGGAGCUUGCUCUGUGGGAUCAGUGGCGAACGGGUGAGUAACACGUGAGCAACCUACCCCUGACUCUGGGAUAAGCGCUGGAAACGGCGUCUAAUACUGGAUACGAGUGGCGACCGCAUGGUCAGCUACUGGAAAGAUUUAUUGGUUGGGGAUGGGCUCGCGGCCUAUCAGCUUGUUGGUGAGGUAAUGGCUCACCAAGGCGUCGACGGGUAGCCGGCCUGAGAGGGUGACCGGCCACACUGGGACUGAGACACGGCCCAGACUCCUACGGGAGGCAGCAGUGGGGAAUAUUGCACAAUGGGCGCAAGCCUGAUGCAGCAACGCCGCGUGAGGGAUGACGGCCUUCGGGUUGUAAACCUCUUUUAGCAGGGAAGAAGCGAAAGUGACGGUACCUGCAGAAAAAGCGCCGGCUAACUACGUGCCAGCAGCCGCGGUAAUACGUAGGGCGCAAGCGUUAUCCGGAAUUAUUGGGCGUAAAGAGCUCGUAGGCGGUUUGUCGCGUCUGCUGUGAAAUCCGGAGGCUCAACCUCCGGCCUGCAGUGGGUACGGGCAGACUAGAGUGCGGUAGGGGAGAUUGGAAUUCCUGGUGUAGCGGUGGAAUGCGCAGAUAUCAGGAGGAACACCGAUGGCGAAGGCAGAUCUCUGGGCCGUAACUGACGCUGAGGAGCGAAAGGGUGGGGAGCAAACAGGCUUAGAUACCCUGGUAGUCCACCCCGUAAACGUUGGGAACUAGUUGUGG
rnacentral:rRNA from 1 species